rnacentral:rRNA from 1 species
UACGUAGGGUGCAAGCAUUAAUCGGAAUUACUGGGCGUAAAGCGUGCGCAGGCGGUUAUGCAAGACAGAUGUGAAAUCCCCGGGCUUAACCUGGGAACCGCAUUUGUGACUGCAUAGCUGGAGUACGGCAGAGGGGGAUGGAAUUCCGCGUGUAGCAGUGAAAUGCGUAGAUAUGCGGAGGAACACCGAUGGCGAAGGCAGUCCCCUGGGCCUGUACUGACGCUCAUGCACGAAAGCGUGGGGAGCAAACAGG